UGUCAUGGAAAGGCAUAGAAGCGUAGGACGCUCGAGUAUAGGUAUCCGUGGAGUGCGGAUUUGGUACAGCCGUGUGGGUGUGUUGGCAGUAGCACUUGAGUAUUGCUAGGUGUAAAGCAUGUCAUGGAUCACUCGUAGGGUUGGUGGCUCACACUAGAUGCUUAGGAGCCGGUGGAGGUUUGUGAGAUUCGGUAGAGCGUGUCGUGUGUGAUGACGGUAGCGGGUAUUGCUUGAGAACUGUAAGAUGCCGAACUUCUGAAGUUAUGAAGUUACGGUGGAAUGUGAUGUACCAGAUUUUAAUAUAAAAGUAGAAAUAAAUAAAAAUAGUGUAAGAUACUAUUUUUAUUGGACUUAGAGAAGUAAAAUAUAAAUUGAAAACGACUUGUGCUGAAAUCGGAACUGAAACAGAAGAUUUAGAACUUUCUAUAAGAAAUAGGGCUGAUAUUUUAGCAGAAAAUUCAUAGUGUCAGAAAAUUAUAAAAAUUGGAGAAUAUGUUGGAAUUAUUUUUAUGAGACUAAAUUUAAAGUUUCAUGUCAUUUUGACACCCGAAAAGUGAAAAAAAAAUAUGAUUGCUAUCUGCUAGAGAUUCUAGUCGCUACAGCUUUCGGUGACCCAAAAAUGGUCCAAACUGAAAAGUUAAGAUAUAUUUCUUUUAUUUAAGUUAAACUGAGACAGCUUGU
rnacentral:lncRNA from 1 species